UUCAUCCGCCUUCGAACUUGAGUCGAUAUUUCACUGCUAAGCCUACAAUGCAACAAUGAAGAAAGAAGUUUCGUAUCAUCAUCUUUAAUUUUAGGGUUCGGAAAUGGAUCAUCAAAUUCUUUCAUUCCCACUUACAUUAGCCACAAACGUUUCAGAAAUUUAUGUUCAAUUUUGUAUCGUCGUUCCUAGAAGUGGAGAAAUUUGCAGUUCAAUAGCGCAGUUUGUUUCGGAGUUUCCAUAAUCCAUUACCUACCUCUGCUCCAUAAAUUCCUGCAAGAUUCAGAUAAUAAGUUGAGAUUGCUCCAGAGGUGAACGACUUCGGGUGACAUCAUGUCACGUCUCGGGAUGGGCAACCAGGUGCUCGAGACAGGGUGUGACAUCCACUCUAGACUCAUUUGAACGACUUCAAUCCUUACCCAUGUUUAUGCAUCGAGAGAUCCUUUUUCGAUGCUUUUUCGUUUAUCUCUCAACAAUUUUGUGUGUUGAAAGAUAUUCCCUUUCUUGUAGUGUUUAUAGCUUGGAAAAGUGGUUCAUUAUGUUGGACUUAGGACAUGUUUGUAGCUUUUGUGGUUGUGGGGGGGGGAUAUGAGUGUUCUAGUGGUGUUUUUACACUACAAAUUAUGUACACUAUGAAAGCAUCACUCUCUAUGUUUAAAUAAAGCUUUUUUCUUA